AUUUCAGACUCUCCGUCCGAUUAAAAGUUGAAACCCUGGAUCCCGUCGGCUGGCGCUCCGCCGAUCUGUCCUUCGCAUCAACUGGAAGGUGUUGCCAACAAAACCCAAGAUGGUGAAGGAACGCCAGGGAGAGCGGGUCAGGCUUUAUGUCAGAGGUUCGAUCCUUGGAUACAAGAGGUCCAAGUCAAACCAAUACCCAAACACAUCACUCAUCCAGAUUGAGGGAGUAAACUCCAAGGAAGAAGUCGCAUGGUACUGUGGCAAGCGCAUGGCAUACAUCUACAAGGCCAAGGUGAAGAAGAAUGGAAGCCACUAUCGUUGUAUUUGGGGGAAGGUUACCCGGCCUCAUGGUAACAGUGGUAUUGUUCGUGCCAAAUUUAAGUCCAAUUUGCCGCCCAGAUCAAUGGGAGCAAGGGUAAGAGUCUUCAUGUAUCCAAGCAAUAUAUGAGUUUGAAGCUUUCUCCUUGGGAAGUUCUAUUGAUGGUUACUGCUGAAUAAUAAGCUAUUUGCAAUGCUAAUACACGAUAUAUCAGUUAUCUCCACGCCAAGACAAUCAUGGGGUUAUGAUUUGUGAUUAAUGCGGCUUGUAAUUAAUUUAGUAACUCAUAAUAAUAUAUAUAUGUCGAUGAUGGCACUUUAAAUGCUCACCAUGAUCCAUGUGAUUUGUUUGCCUGGCGUGCUCCUUGAUACUGAUAUUGCUGCUUGGUUUAUCGCUGGCGGUUAGUUUCAACAUUUGCUCUUUGACCGCAUGAUUCCCAUGACACAUCAAGUAGUCUAAACAGUGUUCAUCCAUAACUAGGAGGCGAUUGUUUUCUUUUAGUUUGAUUUAUGUGGUUUUGUACUCUUGAGCACAAUAGUUUGCUUAUGAUGCGGAAAGAUUCGCUUUUUGUUGUCGUCGUCGUCGUCAUCGUUGUCUUUUUUGGUGAAUUAAUUUUCAUUAUCACCUAUGAGAAUUGGUAAACGUUGCGCGGAUUCUUGAUUUAAAAGAAGACCUGGGUAUAUCUAUUA